GAGGAUAUAGCUCAAGUGGUAGAGCGCAUGCUUAGCAUACAGAUAGUCCUGGGUUCAAUCCCCAGUACCCCCU
rfam:Camelus ferus unplaced genomic scaffold scaffold157, whole genome shotgun sequence.